rnacentral:rRNA from 1 species
AUAAACUGGAGGAAAGGUGGGGAUGACGUCAAGUCAUCAUGGCCCUUACGACCAGGGCUACACACGUGCUACAAUGGCGCAUACAAAGAGAAGCGACCUCGCGAGAGCAAGCGGACCUCAUAAAGUGCGUCGUAGUCCGGAUUGGAGUCUGCAACUCGACUCCAUGAAGUCGGAAUCGCUAGUAAUCGUGGAUCAGAAUGCCACGGUGAAUACGUUCCCGGGCCCUU